AGCGAACGGACGAGAAGCUUGCUUCUCUGAUGUUAGCGGCGGACGGGUGAGUAACACGUGGAUAACCUACCUAUAAGACUGGGAUAACUUCGGGAAACCGGAGCUAAUACCGGAUAAUAUUUUGAACCGCAUGGUUCAAAAGUGAAAGACGGUCUUGCUGUCACUUAUAGAUGGAUCCGCGCUGUAUUAGCUAGUUGGUAAGGUAACGGCUUACCAAGGCAACGAUGCAUAGCCGACCUGAGAGGGUGAUCGGCCACACUGGAACUGAGACACGGUCCAGACUCCUACGGGAGGCAGCAGUAGGGAAUCUUCCGCAAUGGGCGAAAGCCUGACGGAGCAACGCCGCGUGAGUGAUGAAGGUCUUCGGAUCGUAAAACUCUGUUAUUAGGGAAGAACAUAUGUGUAAGUAACUGUGCACAUCUUGACGGUACCUAAUCAGAAAGCCACGGCUAACUACGUGCCAGCAGCCGCGGUAAUACGUAGGUGGCAAGCGUUAUCCGGAAUUAUUGGGCGUAAAGCGCGCGUAGGCGGUUUUUUAAGUCUGAUGUGAAAGCCCACGGCUCAACCGUGGAGGGUCAUUGGAAACUGGAAAACUUGAGUGCAGAAGAGGAAAGUGGAAUUCCAUGUGUAGCGGUGAAAUGCGCAGAGAUAUGGAGGAACACCAGUGGCGAAGGCGACUUUCUGGUCUGUAACUGACGCUGAUGUGCGAAAGCGUGGGGAUCAAACAGGAU
rnacentral:rRNA from 1 species